rnacentral:rRNA from 1 species
GUCGGUGCCGAUGGCGACGAGGGUCCACCUGUUCCCUUUCCGAACACAGUAGUUAAGCUCGUUUGCGUCGACAAUACUCGGUGGGCAACUGCCCGGGAAGAUAGAGAGGCGCCGACA